rnacentral:tRNA from 1 species
UCCUCGAUAGUACAGUGAUUAGUACGCCCACCUGUCAGGCGGGAGACCGGGGUUUCAAAUCCUCGUCGAGGAG